rnacentral:snoRNA from 1 species
AAGCCAGCCAACUGAUCUGCUUAUCUGAAUGUGUAUCUGGCAAUAGUAAGGCCAUGUUACGAGCCUUAAAGACACCUAUAGUCGUUAAGGUCCCUGAGAAUGGCUAUAAUA